UGUAUAAUGGGUCAGCGACUUAUAUUCUGUAGCAAGGUUAACCGAAUAGGGGAGCCGAAGGGAAACCGAGUCUUAACUGGGCGUUAAGUUGCAGGGUAUAGACCCGAAACCCGGUGAUCUAGCCAUGGGCAGGUUGAAGGUUGGGUAACACUAACUGGAGGACCGAACCGACUAAUGUUGAAAAAUUAGCGGAUGACUUGUGGCUGGGGGUGAAAGGCCAAUCAAACCGGGAGAUAGCUGGUUCUCCCCGAAAGCUAUUUAGGUAGCGCCUCGUGAAUUCAUCUCCGGGGGUAGAGCACUGUUUCGGCAAGGGGGUCAUCCCGACUUACCAACCCGAUGCAAACUGCGAAUACCGGAGAAUGUUAUCACGGGAGACACACGGCGGGUGCUAACGUCCGUCGUGAAGAGGGAAACAACCCAGACCGCCAGCUAAGGUCCCAAAGUCAUGGUUAAGUGGGAAACGAUGUGGGAAGGCCCAGACAGCCAGGAUGUUGGCUUAGAAGCAGCCAUCAUUUAAAGAAAGCGUAAUAGCUCACUGGUCGAGUCGGCCUGCGCGGAAGAUGUAACGGGGCUAAACCAUGCACCGAAGCUGCGGCAGCGACGCUUAUGCGUUGUUGGGUAGGGGAGCGUUCUGUAAGCCUGCGAAGGUGUACUGUGAGGUAUGCUGGAGGUAUCAGAAGUGCGAAUGCUGACAUAAGUAACGAUAAAGCGGGUGAAAAGCCCGCUCGCCGGAAGACCAAGGGUUCCUGUCCAACGUUAAUCGGGGCAGGGUGAGUCGACCCCUAAGGCGAGGCCGAAAGGCGUAGUCGAUGGGAAACAGGUUAAUAUUCCUGUACUUGGUGUUACUGCGAAGGGGGGACGGAGAAGGCUAUGUUGGCCGGGCGACGGUUGUCCCGGUUUAAGCGUGUAGGCUGGUUUUCCAGGCAAAUCCGGAAAAUCAAGGCUGAGGCGUGAUGACGAGGCACUACGGUGCUGAAGCAACAAAUGCCCUGCUUCCAGGAAAAGCCUCUAAGCAUCAGGUAACAUCAAAUCGUACCCCAAACCGACACAGGUGGUCAGGUAGAGAAUACCAAGGCGCUUGAGAGAACUCGGGUGAAGGAACUAGGCAAAAUGGUGCCGUAACUUCGGGAGAAGGCACGCUGAUAUGUAGGUGAAGUCCCUCGCGGAUGGAGCUGAAAUCAGUCGAAGAUACCAGCUGGCUGCAACUGUUUAUUAAAAACACAGCACUGUGCAAACACGAAAGUGGACGUAUACGGUGUGACGCCUGCCCGGUGCCGGAAGGUUAAUUGAUGGGGUUAGCGCAAGCGAAGCUCUUGAUCGAAGCCCCGGUAAACGGCGGCCGUAACUAUAACGGUCCUAAGGUAGCGAAAUUCCUUGUCGGGUAAGUUCCGACCUGCACGAAUGGCGUAAUGAUGGCCAGGCUGUCUCCACCCGAGACUCAGUGAAAUUGAACUCGCUGUGAAGAUGCAGUGUACCCGCGGCAAGACGGAAAGACCCCGUGAACCUUUACUAUAGCUUGACACUGAACAUUGAGCCUUGAUGUGUAGGAUAGGUGGGAGGCUUUGAAGUGUGGACGCCAGUCUGCAUGGAGCCGACCUUGAAAUACCACCCUUUAAUGUUUGAUGUUCUAACGUUG
rnacentral:rRNA from 1 species